AGAGGGUGGAGGGGAGCCUGAAGGGAACGGAAGGAGUGUCCUUCCUUCCAGGGCGGGAGGAGUGUCCUUCUCCGUGUCCUCCCGCCCUGGAGAAAAGAGGAAUCACAGCACACACUUGCCUUGGAACACAACACGGCCAUCAGAAGAAGUAUAGACCUACAAACAACGUCAUUGGGUCUUAAAAUCUGGUGCUGAGUUAAAAAAAGACAACAAAGACACAAGAUGGAGAGCCCACCAUGUGCACACGUUUAAAUGCUCAUGUACACGAAGCCAAAUCUUCUCAAAGAUUCGCGGGACAUCCGAGGCACCAACCAGAAGGAGGGCCGAGGGAGCAGGGACUGGAGAUCUGUGAGGGAAAGAUGAAGAGCAAUAAAACAAGAGAGCCCCCCAGGACUGACUGAGCAAUGAGCAGCGUAGGAUCGACUCAGUGCCUCGCCUGGAGGACAGCGACAGACUCCCCGAAUCCUGCUCCCCAGACACCCACCUACCGUGAUGCAAUUCUAACCACCUGGAGUGAGCACGGAGUCCACAGGGCAAGACUGCCCCCACGUCCGUCACCAGCCACAGGCUCAGGGACCCCCAGGCCACGUGCAAUUCUGACCCACCGGCCACAAAUCUGGAGGGGGGGUUCAUGACCCUCAUCAGGUUUAGGAAUUUGCUAGGAUAACUCACAGAGCUCAGGGAUCUGGAAGUCAAGGUGAGAAGCUCAUUCAGUGUGAGCUUUACAACACCCUCGGACCAUCCACAGAGCGAAUGCUACUCUCUUCUGCUGUCAUGAAGGAAAGACUUAGUGCAUUGUGACCUGCCAGAAGUCACACAGCCAGCAGACCAGCCCACCCCCAGCCUGGGUCUUCUGAUGCUGAGACCAGGGCGUUUCCAGAACACCACGCUGAGACUUCACAAUGUAAUUUGAAAGUUUGAACCAAAAGGGCUUCUGAGAAGCAUUCAGUUGACAAGAAGCAGACAGCUCCUCCUCCUUCCCGC